rnacentral:lncRNA from 1 species
UUUUUUUUUACCUCAGGGGCUGUUUGGCACCUGUAACCCUUAAUAUAAUACAGUGAUGAUCUAAUUCAAAUGCUUAUUAUAUCAAANUAGCAAGUUUAUUUUGAUUAUUUAGGAUAAUGUAUAGAAUGCUAUAUCUGCUAUUAAUGUAAAGGAAAAUUUGAGGAUUUAAUGUUACACAAAUAACAUUAGAAAAGUAAUUUAUUUGACAUGUUAUUCAUACCACGUUUAUUGAGUCCUUGCCACCUUUCAUUAUAGUAGUGCUAGGGAUACAAUUGUGAAUAAGACAUGAUCUCUGUUUCAAGAAUUUACAGGAAAUUGGUCAGUGGUUCUGAGCAUUUUUGAUCAUGAAUUCCUUUGAUAAUUAGAAAGAUUUCCACACCACUACUUUCAUCAAACACACUCCAAAAUGUUGUACACAUUUUCAAUGGACUCAUAGGCCUCAAGUUAAGAAAAGUUGGCUAGUUUAAUUUACAGUUUGCUGCGUUAUAAAUAAAAUUGGACCUGGAGCUAGAAAAUCUGCAUUUGAAACUUCUGAUAGUAUCUGGUGUAAAUUUUGACAAACCACUGAAACCUCUCUCUAGUUAUGUCCUCUACUAAGUGAAGGUAAUGCCAUCUGCUUAGCAGAAUUGAUGUUCUAUUCAAUUAGAUAGUACAGGUAAAGAACUUCUUAAAAUUAAAAAGCAAAAUUUUACUAAUGGACUAAAUUGUCUUAUUCAUGCUUUAUUAAUAAUUAGUGAGGGGCUAAGGUUGUGGCUCAGUGGUAGAGCACUUGCCUUGCAUAUGUGAGGCACUGGGUUCGAUCCUCAGCACCACAUAAAAUUAGUAAAUAAGUAAAACAUACUGUGUCCAUGUUCAACUAAAAAAAUUUAAAAAAAUAAUUAGUGAAAAACUAAAUUCUGAUCUUUUUCCUGUCAUUACUUUCAUGAAACUAAUACAGAUAUAGCUGUAACAGUUUGUGUGUCAAGAUUUUCUAAUAGAACUGACACUUUUCCUUUAGUGUAAUUGGAUUAUUAGUCUGUGUUUUAUCAUUACUAUAAGUCAGCUGAACACUGGCUACUACAGGCUCUGUGGUGUUUUUUUUUUUUUUUUUGAGGGGGGAUGAGGGGAGGGCAUGGGGGACCAAGGAUUGAACUCAGGGGCACUGGACCACUGAGCCACAUCCCCAGCCCUAUUUUUUGUAUUUUAUUUAGAGACAGGGUCUCACUGAGUUGCUUAGUGCCUUGCUUUUACUGAUGCUUGCUUUGAACUCUCGAUCCUCCUGCCUUAGCCUCCCAAGCCACUGGGAUUACAGGUAUGUGCCACCGUGUUCAGCUAUAGAGUCUAUUUUUUGAUCUCUUUAAAGAUUAAAGCUACAUUACAAAACCAGUACAGGAUGUGUAGUUUCUUACAGGCAAAGUUCAAACCUGAACUAUGGAGAGCAUCAUCAGAGUUACAAAGAAUUGACAAUAACUGUGGCAGAGGGAGACCAAGAGUUUGCAACAUGGUUUAGUGACCCUUGGUAAAGUUUCAAAGUAUGAUGCAUGUGUCCUUGACCCCUGUACUCUUCCAUCAUUCAAGUACCCAACACUUUCACACUUCCUUCUGACAACUCAAAGCCUCUCAUUACACAUUUUCAGUGUUUCCUGUCAUCACUUUGCAAAAUUUACAAACUGAUGCUUGCCCAUAAAUAAUUAUUUAACAACUGGCAUCAAAUUUAUUAUAAUGAUCAUAUUCUGAUAAUUUAUUAAAUUUAAAAUCAUGCAUAUUUAUGAGAUUAUCUUCCACUAAAAUGUUCCCCCAGAUUCACUUAGAUUAUAACGCCCCAGAGUAUAAACAGCAACUUUACAAUCUUGAAGGUUAAAAUGCAUCAAAACAUAUCUGCUGCAAGUAUUUCUUUUCUUAUACAUGAUUUAAUCAGAUAUGUGAAAUUUGAAUAAAACAACUUGGAGGUAAGUUUUAAUCCUGAAAUUUGAUAAACCACUGAACUAGCCAUACUAGAUAUACAAAAAGGAGAUACUUUAAUUAUUUGUUUUUUGGGGGGUUUGUUGUUGUUUUCAUUGUAGAUGGACAUAAUACCUUUGUUUAUUUUUAUGUGGUGCUGAGGAUGGAACCCAGCACUUCACAUGUGCCAGGCAAGCGCUCUAUCACUGAGCCAUAACCCCAGCCCUCAUUUAUUAUUUUAAUUUAUAAAGAACAGAAAUUUUUCAGUUCUGGAAGCUGGGAAGUCUGAGACUAAGGUGCUGGUAUUUCUUUUUUGGUGAGGGCUAUUUGGUGUUUUCAUAUGGCAGAAGGGCAAAAUAGCCACACAUGGCAUGAAGCCUCUUUCUUGUAAGAGCACUAAUCACAUUUAUAAAGGAGACCUCUCAUGGCCCAAUCAUAAGACUAUUAAUACUAUCUUAUUGCAAUGCCUCAGUUUUGGGGGGAACACAUUCAAACCAUAGCAACCUGUACAUUUCUCCUUCUCCAGCUAGCACCAUGUUAACCUCUGCGGGUAGAGGGGGUUGGAAGGAUGUUGCAAGGAGAGGGUUUCAUUUCUCCUCUUUUAUGGCAUAGCUGCUAAGGGCGCUCUUAGGCACUAUGGUGGUUAAUUUUAUGUGUCAAUGAGACUGGCCGUAAGUACCUAUAUAUUUGGUCACACAUUAUUAUGGAUAUUUCUAUGGGGACAUUAUUGGGAUGAAGUUGACACUUGAACCAUAGAAUUGUAUAAAGCAGAUUGUCCUUCAUAAUGUCAGUGGGUUGCAGCCAAUCAGUUGAACAUCUGUAUAGAAUAAAAAGAUCAGCUUUCUUCAGGCAAGAGAAAAUUCUCCAGCAGACUGCCUUAGGACUAAGAUUGCACCCUCAGCUCUUCCGAGUCUCCAGCCUAUCGGCUUCAGUAAUCAUGUGAGCCAGUCCUUAAAAUAAAUCUGUAUGUACACAGCAUAUUGGUUCUGCUUCUCUAAAGAACUCUUUUUUUUUUUUUUUAAAGAAAGAGUGAGAGAGAAUCUUUUUUAAUAUUUUUUUAGUUUUCGGCAGACACAACAUCUUUGUUUGUAUGUGGAGCUGAGGAUGGAACCCGGGCCAUACUCAUGCCAGGUGAGUGAGCUACCGCUUGAGCCACAUCCCCAGCCCCUCUAAACAACUCUUAAGAGAGAAACCCUCUGAAGCCUACCAACCAACAAGUUUCAUUCAUACAUCAACAGGAGGCUUCUUGCUUACCAGUUCCUGUGUGCCAAGGCCUGAUCCACCAGCUACAUACAGCCCUAGUCCAGAGCAAACCUCCGAUGUUUUCAUCAUUGAUUGGGCUGCAGCCAUACCAUCUGAUAGACCUGACUUCAUCAUAAGGAAGGAGAACCUUUUACAAGGAUGUUCUUUCUUUGAGUACUCAUUCUCAGUCCUAGGGUACUGUCUUUCAGUGUAAUAGAAUUCUCUGUUAUCCUCUCUUAUUUAAUUCCAUUAUCACUCAAAUUAAUAAUAUGCUUGUGUCUUCUGACUAAUAUGAGAGUUAAUGUCAUUUCUACUAUUUUCUAUUUGAAGGUUUUUAAAAGAGCUAUACAAGUUUUUGAUCACCCAUUAUAUGUUUUACAUAAAAACAAAUGACUAUUUUUCUUUGUCUAGUUCUUGUACAGAGGAGUCCAAAUUUAUGACAUCAGUCAUGAUUAUAUUGUAUGUUUUACUAAUACACUGAGAUAUUUACAGUAAUAAUCUACAAUCUUAAGAAUAUGCAUAUUACUUCCAAAUAUGUUGACUAAUUUUUCAAGAGAAUACUGGUGAAUACUUGUACAAUGUGAUUUGCUAUAGAAUUUUUAUAAGCUAAUAAAAUGCUUUAAUAACAAAUCAACCUAAACUGUUUUGGAAAUAACUUCUACUGAAGAAUCAUUAUCAGAUAGUCCUUUGAUGACU